rnacentral:rRNA from 1 species
GAACGACUCUCGGCAACGGAUAUCUCGGCUCUCGCAUCGAUGAAGAACGUAGCGAAAUGCGAUACUUGGUGUGAAUUGCAGAAUCCCGUGAACCAUCGAGUCUUUGAACGCAAGUUGCGCCCGAUGCCUUCUGGUCGAGGGCAUGUCUGCCUGGGCGUCACGC